GGGCCCGCACAAGCGGUGGAGCAUGUGGUUUAAUUCGAUGAUACGCGAGGAACCUUACCAGGGCUUAAAUGUAAGUUGCAUGGAUCAGAGAUGGUCCUUUCUUCGGACUACUUACAAGGUGCUGCAUGGUUGUCGUCAGCUCGUGCCGUGAGGUGUCAGGUUAAGUCCUAUAACGAGCGCAACCCCUAUCGUUAGUUGCCAACAGGUUAAGCUGGGAACUCUAACGAGACUGCCGGUGCAAACCGCGAGGAAGGUGGGGAUGACGUCAAAUCAUCACGGCCCUUACGUCCUGGGCCACACACGUGCUACAAUGGCCGGUACAGAGAGCAGCCACUCCGCGAGGAGGAGCGAAUCUAUAAAACCGGUCUCAGUUCGGAUCGCAGUCUGCAACUCGACUGCGUGAAGCUGGAAUCGCUAGUAA
rnacentral:rRNA from 1 species